ensembl:lncRNA
GGUGUGGUUCACACCGGAAGUCACGUUAAAUCAAAUGUUGUAUUUAUCUAAUAAAUCUAUCUAAUAUCUUAAUAUUUGUUAAUAAUAUUAUUAUAUCUAUAUAUCUUAGGAUUAAUUGGAAAUGCAAUCGCUUUCCCUUUAAAGCAUCAAAUUGAUUUACUAUUUGAUAUUGAUGUAAUACUGGCAUGUAAUUACAGUUUUUUUCCAAUCAUUUUAACUCUUGUAUCAAUACCAUGAACACUUUUCCCAAAAAGAAACACAGUGAGCUUUACAGACACACACCUCCGCAUAUCAGUUCACCUUUGGUGCAAAAUGCACUACAACCACCACACCACAACCAAUGCUGCCGUAACUUUAGCAAAUGUUCUCUCUCAGAGUACAAUGACCUAAAAAACACUAACAACUUGAAGCAUUGCCAAUUGCAUUUAUAAAAUGUUGCCGUGUCCUCCAGUUUGGCAUAGAUUACUGUAGUGUUGCAUUGAAAAAAGAGAAAAAACACACACAGACAAACACUUAACACUACAGUAAUACAGUUUGUAAUAUUACAGUAAACAAAUAAUUCUAAAAUGCUGCAAUACGUUUCAUUAUAGCCAUAUGCUAAAAUUGCACGUGUUACUGCACUAUAUAGGCUUACGACAUUACAACAAAAAGGCAUGAAUAUGCUACGUAUUUACUGCAGUAAAUAAAAUACAUCAAAACAAGAUACAGUGUGUGUGUGUUUUUUUGCAUUGUCAUGGAAUCAGGGAAUCACAACCAGUGGUGUAGUGGUAAAAAACAAAGGCGGCACACCCUUAUACGCUGUUAAAAAAAGUGGCUAAACUACCCAACCGACAUGCAUGUCAUUAUCAUAGUGACGGAAUGACAGACAGGUGUAGGGGUAGUCAUGGUGACUGAAUGACAGACAGGUGUAGGGGUAGUCAUUGUCAUAGUGACGGAAUGACAGACAGGUGUAGGGGUAGUCAUGGUGACUGAAUGACAGACAGGUGUAGGGGUAGUCAUGGUGAUUGAAUGACAGACAGGUGUAGGGGUAGUCAUGGUGACUGAAUGACAGACAGGUGUAGGGGUAGUCAUUGUCAUAGUGACUGAAUGACAGACAGGUGUAGGGGUAGUCAUAGUGACUGAAUGACAGACGGGUGUAGGGGUAGUCAUGGUGACUGAAUGACAGACAGGUGUAGGGGUAGUCAUGGUGACUGAAUGACAGACAGGUGUAGGGGUAGUCAUAGU